GACGAACGCUGGCGGCGUGCUUAACACAUGCAAGUCGAACGCAGUGGCGAACGGUUGAGUAACGCGUAAUCAACCUGCCCUUCAGAGGGGGAUAACAGUUGGAAACGACUGCUAAUACCGCAUACUGAAGGCGGGGACUGCGUCUGAUUAGCGAGUUGGAGGGGUAACGUCCCACCAAGCCGACGAUCUCUAGCUGGUCUGAGAGGAUGACCAGCCACACGGGGACUGAGACACGGCCCAGACUCCUACGGGAGGCAGCAGUGGGGAAUAUGGCGCAAUGGGCGCAACCCUGACGCAGCCAUGCCGCGUGAAUGAAGAAGGCCUUCGGGUUGUUAAGCACUUUAAGUUGGGAGGCGUUACCAACAGAAUAAGCACCGGCUAACUUCGUGCCAGCAGCCGCGGUAAUUC
rnacentral:rRNA from 1 species